rnacentral:lncRNA from 1 species
UUGACUGUUCAUGGUUAUUGAUGAGAUUGAAGUCAUGUUGCUCAACAAAUGUUAAAAAAAAUUAGACUUUAGAAAAAUGCCGUUUGAAAGGAAUUGGGAAAGUGAAUUAAAUUAGACAACAAGGUGCCAUCUUGCGGUGUAACCAAAACUCUCUUUAGCAGGUGCCUCACAGUAUCGGUCUCAUGGAAUAUGAUUGAAACUCUCAAGCCUUAACCAAUAAACCAUGAACUCGCACAGGAAUGGUUCAUGACUUUUAUAUGGGGUAUUGAUGAGACAAACUUACCGAUGCACCUAUACAACUUUCAGUUUAUGUUUUCUCCUUUCUGUUUCCAUUUUCCAUUUUCCAUAAAAAACUCAGAAAAUUUGUUUGGUUAACGGUUUUCGAAACACAUUUUCAAGGAAUUCUUUUGGAGAAACUCAUUUUUUGUUUUCAAACUCUGAAAACCAUCUGUGCUAAAAAAUGAAUGAGGGACAAAAAUGACAGUGUUUUUGUUUUCAAAACAGUUUC